UUCAAAUUGAUAAGCAUUUUUAAUUGAUUUUUUUUGCUGUGUUCCAAAUAGUAUCAACAAGUGACGAAGCAUUUGACAUUAACAUAAACAAAAUUUAGAAACAAAUAAUGCCGCUAGCUAAUUCGGCAGACCCAUGGCGUAUUCAAAACAUAGGGAACGAGUGCAUAUCACAAGAGGAUUUAUCUAUGGUUAUCGAUGAGCCUAUAGAACCAGUUGCUUCUAAUGAAAAUGCUAAAGAAGAUGAACAUGAAAUUGAUGUCAAAUAUUUAGUAAAAGAAGGCCAUGACAAAGCCGAACCUUCGCAGUUUGAACUGCUUAAAGUUCUUGGGGAAGGGUCUUUUGGAAAAGUUUUUCUUGUUCGUAAAGUAGUUGGAUCGGAUGCCGGAACUCUGUAUGCUAUGAAGGUUGUUAAAAAAGCAACAUUGAAGGUCCGAGAUAGGGUUCGGACUAAAAUGGAACGAAAUAUUCUAGUUGAUGUUGAACAUGCCUUCAUAGUCAAAUUGCACUAUGCGUUCCAAACUGCAGGAAAAUUGUAUUUAAUUCUAGAUUUUUUGAGGGGAGGAGAUUUAUUUACUAGGUUAAGCAAGGAAGUGAUGUUUACAGAAGAAGAUGUAAAAUUUUAUCUUGCUGAAUUAGCUUUGGCGCUGAGUCAUUUACAUAGUUUGGGAAUUAUAUAUAGAGAUUUAAAACCUGAAAAUAUUUUAUUAGAUCAAGAUGGUCACAUUGCCUUGACUGAUUUUGGCCUAUCAAAGCUUCCUUUAGCAGAGGACAAGACUUAUAGCUUUUGUGGUACUGUAGAAUAUAUGGCUCCUGAGGUAGUUAAUAGGAAAGGACAUUCGUUUGCUGCUGAUUGGUGGUCGUUUGGUGUUCUGAUGUUUGAAAUGCUCACUGGAAAUUUACCUUUUCAUGGUAAUACAAGCCAGGAAACUAUGACGAGAAUUCUUAAAGCAAAACUCGGAAUGCCAAGUAAUUUAACACCUGAAGCUCAGUCAUUAUUAAGAGCCUUGUUUAAGAGAAAUCCUCAAAAUAGAUUAGCUGCUGGUCCAGAUGGCGUAGAAGACUUGAAGAGGCAUGAAUUCUUUGCAACUGUUGACUGGGAUGCAUUACUUCAUAAACAAAUACCACCACCGUUUAGACCAGCUGUAUCCCGAGCUGAAGAUGCUUUCUAUUUUGAUACAGAAUACACAAGUAAAACUCCAAAAGAUUCUCCUGGAAUACCUGCUUCUGCAAAUGCUCACGAAUUAUUUAGGGGAUUCAGUUUUGUAGCACCAUGUUUGCUUGAAGAAGAUAGGACUAGAAAUCAACAAGUAAAUAAUUCAACAGAAGUUUCCAAACCUCCAUUAGUGAAUAAGCCUUGUGCCUUUUCUGAUGAAUAUGAACUAAUGGGUAUUCUAGGUAGAGGGACAUUUUCUGUGUGUCGUUUAUGUGAACAUAAAGCUACUAAAAAACAGUAUGCAGUAAAAAUUAUAGAUAAAUCCUCACAUGACUGCCGAGAAGAAGUAGAAAUUUUGUUACGCUAUGGUCAGCACCCAGGAAUUGUAACUCUGUAUGAUGUUCAUGAAGAUGGAUCAAAUAUGUAUUUAGUAACUGAACUUCUACGUGGUGGUGAACUUCUCGAUAGAAUUUUAGCUUUAGGAAAGCUUUCAGAGAAUGAAGCUUGGGCCAUAAUGAAAACUGUUGGAGCUGCGGUUUCAUAUCUUCACAUGCAUGGAGUUGUUCACAGAGAUCUUAAGCCUUCUAAUUUAUUAUAUGCUACUGUGGAUUGUAACCCAGAAAGCCUAAAAAUUUGUGACUUGGGUUUUGCUAAACAAUUAAGAGCUGAUAAUGGCCUAUUAAUGACUCCUUGUUACACUGCUAAUUUUGUUGCACCAGAAGUAUUAAAAAAGCAAGGAUAUGAUGCAGCAUGUGAUAUUUGGUCUUUGGGUGUUCUACUUUAUAUCAUGUUAGCUGGUCAAACUCCAUUUGCCAGUGGGGAAAAUGAUAAACCUGAAGCCAUUCUUGCCAGGAUUGGUUCCGGCCAAGUUAAUCUGGAAACUGGGGUUUGGACAAGCAUAAGUGCAGAAGCAAAGAGCUUGCUAGGACAAAUGCUACAUAUAAAUCCAACAAGAAGGCCUACAGCUUCUCAAGUACUAUUACAUCCUUGGUUAUCUCCGAGUAAGCCCCAAACAAAAUCUAAUGUUGUACCCAGCUCUCCGAAUACUCCAAGAUUGGAUGCUUCGGCAAUAAGAAAUGCUGUUGAUGCUACAUACAGGGCAAUUGCUAAUUCACCACAAGCAGCUAAUUUGGGACCUGUGGUUCUGUCAGAACUUGCCCGAAGGCGUGCUAAAGAUAAAUUACAUAAUAAUAUUUAAUAAUGGCUUCUAGAUAGAUGAUAUAAAUAUCUACUGUAACAGCUGAUACUAUUUAGAAAUCACGUUUAACAUUGAGUGCUGUAUAGCAUUCCUUGUGCAUAUGCACAAGAUAUUUUGGAUAUUAUCCUACUAUAUGAAAUAAUAUGCAGGAAAAUAUGAUUUCAUGAAGGCAAAUAAUAGGAAGUUUUAUACCCAGGUGGUAUUAUGGUAGUGAAUAACAUAGUUAUUUCAUACUCUAAAUAUUUAGUAUCAGGUCACACAAUUUUCAAUAAU